CAGAAAGAUGCCCUCUGCCCUUUGCAUGUGCCACACAUCUCAACCUGCAGAUACAUCUCAAAGGCCCCUUCAGCCGAUGUCCUCAGUGCCCUUGACACAGCCCCUUGGCACUUGCCUUCCACACACAUGCUGCUGCACCAGUUUCCUCCUGGCAGCACCUUCCUUUCUGCCUGAGGAUUUCCCAGGCAUCCUGCCUCCAAGAAAGUCAGAAGUCAGUGCCUCCCUGAGAGCCGGUGAGAGCUCCAUCUCCCCUGGGCAAGUGGUGCUGAUGCCUGUUCCCUGCAUCCAUCUCUCAGAAGCCACAGCAGAACUGAGCUCCAGGGGCCACUGCGAGAAGCAUUUAUGGAGCUCGUGGAGUGAGGCAUCUCUUUAAUCCCUUCAGUAAGUCAGUGUGGGCCAAGGAGUCUGAGGAUCAGAGACCUUGUGACUUUUUAAGUGAAGAUUUACUGUGUGCUGGGGCCCAUUGUGUUUUAUUUUAUUGACUUGUCCCAAGCUCUAAGAGGGAGAGACCUUGAUUGUCCCAAUUUCACUGACACAGUUUGGGAAGGUUAAAACAUGAUGAAAGGAAAUAGACUGGAAUGAUACAGUAAUAUGGAAUUGAGCAUUUUCACCAACAUUUUUACGUGUUUUAAAAUGUCAUUUUCUGGCCAGGGGUGGUGGCUCAUGCCUGUAACCCCAGCACUUUGGGAAGCUGAGGCUGGUGGAUCACUUGAGGCCAGGAGUUUGUGACCAGCCUGGCCAACAUGGUGAAACCAUGUUUCUACUAAAAAUAUAAAAAAAUAGCUUGGUGUGGCCGUGCACACUUUAAUACCAGGUACUCGGAAGGCCGAGGCAUGAGAAUCGCUUGAAACCGGGAGGCAGAGUUUGCAGUGAGCCAAGAUCGUGCCACUGCACUCCAGCCUGGGAGACAGAGUGAGACUCUGUAUCAAAAAAAAAAAAAAAAAAAAAAAAGUAAAUGAAAAUAAAAUGGUAUUUUCUUUUUCUUUCUUUCUUUUUUUUUUUUUUUUUACAAAAAAAACUUUUAUUAUUAUUUUAGAUUUAAGAGGCACGUGUGCAGGUUUGUUACGUGGAUAUAUUGCAUAAUGGUAAGUUU
ensembl:lincRNA